WUUUGACCGUGCAAAGGUASCAUAAUCAUUAGUCUUUUAAUUGGAGGCUGGAAUGAAUGGUUUGAUGAAAUAAUAACUGUCUCUUUAUUAUUAAUUUGAAUUUUACUUUUGAGUUAAAAGGCUCAMAUGUUAUUAAGGGACGAGAAGACCCUAUAGAUCUUGAUGAUGAGUUUAUUUAAUUUGUUUUGGUUGUGUAAGUAUUUUAUAAAUGUUGAUCAUUUUAUUGGGGUGAUAUGAGAAUAUAAUAACUUCUUAAUAAUUGACUUUGAUUGAUGAGUGUAUAAUCCUGUAUUAUGGAAUUAAGAUUAAG
rnacentral:rRNA from 1 species